GCGCUGGAGCGGCGCGGGCGUCGGGCGGAGGCGAGGACUCGGACGACGACAGCGCUGCAACAUACAGAGAAGGCUGGAGGCGCUUCCGAAGGGAGCCUACUUCCUCUGUGAUGUUAAUCGUGAACCUAUUACAAUACCUGGUGUUCCGUUGUUCUGUGGGCUGUGUGGUCCAGGUGUUGGCGAGGACCUGGUCUCCUCCUGCUCCGGGGACUUCCUCUCCUUCCCCGUCACAGCUGCAACAAACAUCUCACUGAUAUAUCUUAAUUUAGGUUUUUGAUUAUUACCCGCUGUUGUCAUGCCCACAGAGGUGGUCGUGUCGCGGCAUGAAGCUGCCUUAUUUCCGCGAAGCGAUCCUUCACAGCGUGAUAACGACUAUUGAACUAUGUGUAUAUACUUUAAAAUAAACACACCAGCGACUGGACACUUAUAUAUAUCGAGACAUUAUACAUCGAACUUUCCAAUCACCUGACAAAUAAUA